GACGAACGCUGGCGGCGUGCCUAAUACAUGCAAGUAGAACGCAGUUGCGAACGGGUGAGUAACGCGUAGGUAACUGCCCCAUUGCGGGGGAUAACCAUUGGAAAAGAUAGCUAAUACCCCAUACUGUGUGAUGGAUCUGCGUUGUAUUAGCUAGUUGGUGAGGCAAAGGCUCACCAAGGCGACGAUACAUAGCCGACCUGAGAGGGAGGUCGGCCACACUGGGACUGGGACAAGGCCCAGACUCCUACGGGGGGCAGCCGGAGGGAAUCUUCGGCAAUGGACGGAAGUCUGACCGAGCAACGCCGCGGGAGUGAAGAAGGGUUUCGGAUCGUAAAGCUCUGUUUUUAGAGAAGCGGUAACUGACGAGAAAGGGACGGCGAACUACGUGCCAGCAGCCGCGGUAAUUC
rnacentral:rRNA from 1 species